UUGCUGUGAUGACUUUCUUAGGACACCUUUGGAUUCAAUGCGAAGAAAUUCGUUUUUGCUGC
rnacentral:snoRNA from 1 species